UGACCGCGCGUGGAGCACGUUCUAUUCCCUUUCCCUUUCCUGCUAGUUUCCUUUUUGGGAAAACCCACUCGACCACUCAACCGCAUCUUAUCCUAUCCCCUGCGCCUCGCCUCCCUACUCUGCCCUGCCGCUUCCCCUCCUCGCCGGCGGCUCGGCUCCUCCCUCGCGGCAGCCCACUAUCCCCGGCACCUCGCCUCCCUACUCUGCCUUGCCGCUUCCCCUCCUCGCCGGCGGCUCCUCCCUGGCGGCAGCGACCAAUACGGCGAGACGACGCGGCCGCACGAGCGGCGGCGAGGUCAGCGGUGAAUACGGCGAGGCGCCGCGUCCGCACGGGCGGCAGGGGCCAAUACGGCAAGGCGGAGCGGCCGCACAGCCGCCGCGAUGUCCAGGGGAGGAAGCGGCCAAUACAGCAAGGUGGUGUCUGUCCGGCGGCCGUACGUCCUCCUGCUUGGGCUCAACCUCCCGCUGUGCGUCCGCACCGGCAUCACCAAGCUUCCCAGCCGCGUCCGCGUCGGCUCCGAGGAUGUCCCGGUACCCCCCUCCCCCUCCCCCAAUCCCUAUUACUUCCGAUGAGUUCAUAGCUGAUGGCGGCCACGUUCUCUGUGCUCACGAACACCCAGUUUUGACAGGGGAGCAGCACAUGGAUGUCGAUUUUUUGGCACCUCUGCUCUCAUAAAACUAGUAUGGAUAGGUUCGUCAGGCACACCUUUGCUCGUUUUCAGCAUGAGGAGGAAGAAGAUGAUUUAAUUUCUUUGGAAGGACUAAUCCUGUGAGGAUGCUGUACAAGAAAAUAGGAGCAAUAUGGAUCUCAAAACUGAAGAAAAGCAGGCCACCUUAGUGGCUCUGUGCUCAGAAAAGAGGAUUGCUUACUAUUUCACAAAAAUAGGAUUUUUCUAAGCCAUCCUCUGUCUAUUAGGCCUUUUUCUAAGCCAGUCAAAAUUACCAGGAUAAAAUCAGGGAUUAAAUGAGCGUUGGUUUGAACUCGACAAAUAUAUUUUAUCAGUUAACCAUAUUAUGUAGCUACUGCAUUGUCUUGCCGAUAAUCGUCUUCACACACGAGAUAUCAAUUUGUAUGUGUGAUUUCAUUUGAAUCUUGUAAGCCAUAAAAUUAUAUUUGGCAUCAUCUGGUAGCCGGAACAAUGUUUAGUGUUUACUCACUCAAUGUGGGCUGGGUCCUAUCUUGCUUUUGUUUACUAUACUCCUACUUGUUUAUGUUAGCAAUUAGAAAACCUAAGAUUUAGGGCCCAAUUCCAGGCCCCAUGACUAAUUUGUUAAUGCAUUAACCAAAUGUGAAAUGUGGCAGCAUCAGCAUGAGUAUCGGGGGCCAUCCUCCUUGGAAUUUUGUCACUCUGUUUUUCUUGCUGGUCAAAGUGCUAGUACUGACAGGGGUUUUUGUUCUCAGAUUUGGCCACCGGAGAGGAUUGGUUCGAUUGGUUCAAAGGAGUAGGACACAGGUAAAUUGAAUUCUUUUGCCAUUAAUUUACCUUUUGCCAAUUUUCCCACAACCAUCCAAGUCAGAGUAUAAGCGACAGUUCAUACGAUGCAGCCAGGCCCUGCAUUUGUUGGUGCAUCUUGAUGUCUACCAUUUGAUACUUCACAAUUUUGGUCCUUGCCCCCCCGGAAGCCAACCCCGUUCAGCGAAUCUAUGGCAUGAUUCAAUUGCUGUGUCUCAUGUCGUAACUCAUCCGCCUCAGUCUCGUCUUUCGUUGACGCCGGAGCACAACGAAGUAGUGUUCGGGGGCGCAUCUCUGCGGAAAUCCUUACAAGUAUCCGAACCGGCUGUGGAGAUUGGAAAAGGAAAUCCCUAGAUGCAUCUCUGAAACAAUGACAUUUUUUCAGUCAAUGAACUGAGACUAGCAGUUCAUUUUUAUUCUGUAGGGGGGAUCUUUCUUGGAUGAAAUUCUGAACACUAUUCAAAGAAAUAAGCAGCUGGCAUUUGUUCAAGAAUAUACUAAGUCUGUGAACAUUGUUUGUUUCUCUGUAGCAAGUUAUUCUAUAAAUACUGAACACUAUGCAAGGAAAUCAGCAGCCUCCAUUGUUCAAGAAUGUACUAAUUCUCUGAACAUUGUUUUGCUUUUCUGUAGCAAGUUAUUUCUAUAAAUACUGAACAUUACAAGGAAAUCAGCAGCUUUCAUUGUUAAGAGAAUGAGCUAAUUCUCUGGAAAACGUGUUGUUUUUCUGUAGCAAAUUAUUGUAUGAAUUCUGAAUAUCUGUGCAAAGAAACUGAGCUCUGUUAUUCAAACAACAGAGAUAGAGCACAAUCUGUAUAUACAUGAGCAUUAAGCUAGAAGAAUUCCUAAUGUUACUGUAUUCCUUGUGUUUUUGGUUUUUUUUCUCUUCCAUGCUGUAGCACAGAGUCCAUAAGUUUCAUUGUUAUUGAUUUUUGGUCAGUUACAAAGUCCAAACUAUUUGUCAGAUAAAGACAACUCAUUUUUAGCUUCACCCAUGUUUUGACUAUUUAAGUUGGUGUACAACUGUACAUGGUAUGUAAAUAUAAUAGUCUGUUCUAACCUAUUCUCUGCUUUUUUCCAGAGCGUGGGCUCCGAACAUUCAGCAAAACAGGGACAUUGUGAAUUUACUAGAUUGCGACAAGUCUACACAGGGAAUAGGCCGAGUUUGGAAUGAGCAGCUUGCAGAGCUACUAUGGCCUGAGUUCUCAAAGAGGAGAUGGCAUGGAUUUAAGUACAUUAAUGUCCUUGUACGGCGGACGCCGAGACGAGCACGUGACACCAUUGCCACCCUGUCUUAGCGUN
rnacentral:lncRNA from 1 species